rnacentral:rRNA from 1 species
AGUCGAGGGGUAUAGUAGCAAUACUAGAGACCGGCGCACGGGUGCGUAACGCGUAUGCAAUCUGCCUUUCACAGAGGGAUAGCCCAGAGAAAUUUGGAUUAAUACCUCAUAGUAUAGUACAACCGCAUGGUUGAACUAUUAAGGUCACAACGGUGAAAGAUGAGCAUGCGUCCCAUUAGCUAGUUGGUAAGGUAACGGCUUACCAAGGCUACGAUGGGUAGGGGUCCUGAGAGGGAGAUCCCCCACACUGGUACUGAGACACGGACCAGACUCCUACGGGAGGCAGCAGUGAGGAAUAUUGGUCAAUGGGCGCAAGCCUGAACCAGCCAUGCCGCGUGCAGGAUGACGGUCCUAUGGAUUGUAAACUGCUUUUGUACGGGAAGAAACAACUCUACGUGUAGAGUCUUGACGGUACCGUAAGAAUAAGGAUCGGCUAACUCCGUGCCAGCAGCCGCGGUAAUACGGAGGAUCCAAGCGUUAUCCGGAAUCAUUGGGUUUAAAGGGUCCGUAGGCGGUUUAGUAAGUCAGUGGUGAAAGCCCAUCGCUCAACGGUGGAACGGCCAUUGAUACUGCUAGACUUGAAUUAUUAGGAAGCAACUAGAAUAUGUAGUGUAGCGGUGAAAUGCUUAGAGAUUACAUGGAAUACCAAUUGCGAAGGCAGGUUGCUACUAAUGGAUUGACGCUGAUGGACGAAAGCGUGGGUAGCGAACAGGAUUAGAUACCCUGGUAGUCCACGCCGUAAACGAUGGAUACUAGCUGUUGGGAGCGAUCUCAGUGGCUAAGCGAAAGU